rnacentral:rRNA from 1 species
UACGUAGGGUGCGAGCGUUGUCCGGAAUUAUUGGGCGUAAAGGGCUCGUGGGCGGUCUGUCGCGUCGGGAGUGAAAACUCAGGGCUUAACCCUGAGCCUGCUUCCGAUACGGGCAGACUAGAGGUAUGCAGGGGAGAACGGAAUUCCUGGUGUAGCGGUGAAAUGCGCAGAUAUCAGGAGGAACACCGGUGGCGAAGGCGGGUCUCUGGGCCGAUACUGACGCUGAGGAGCGAAAGCGUGGGGAGCGAACAGG